AUUGAACGCUGGCGGCAGGCCUAACACAUGCAAGUCGAGCGAGCGGCGGACGGGUGAGUAAUGUCUGGGAAACUGCCUGAUGGAGGGGGAUAAAUACUGGAAACGGUAGCUAAUAACGCAUACCAUCGGAUGUGCCCAUAUGGGAUUAGCUUGUAGGGGGGGUAAUGGCUCACCUAGGCGACGAUCUCUAGCUGGUCUGAGAGGAGGACCAGCCCCACUGGAACUGAGACACGGCCCAGACUCCUACGGGAGGCAGCAGUGGGGAAGAUUGCACAAUGGGCGCAAGCCUGAUGCAGCCAUGCCGCGUGUGUGAAGAAGGCCUUCGGGUUGUAAAGCACUUUCAGCGGGGAGGCGUUACUCGCAGAAGAAGCACCGGCUAACUCCGUGCCAGCAGCCGCGGUAAUAC
rnacentral:rRNA from 1 species